rnacentral:rRNA from 1 species
GACGAACGCUGGCGGCGUGCUUAACACAUGCAAGUCGAGCGGUAAGGCCCUUUCGGGGGUACACGAGCGGCGAACGGGUGAGUAACACGUGGGUGACCUGCCCUCAGCUCUGGGAUAAGCCUGGGAAACUGGGUCUAAUACUGGAUAUGACUCCACGGUGCAUGUCGUGGGGUGAAAGCCUUGUGCGGCUGAGGAUGGGCCCG